AUUGAACGCUGGCGGCAUGCUUUACACAUGCAAGUCGGACGAGUGGCGAACGGGUGAGUAACGCAUCGGAACGUACCGAGUAAUGGGGGAUAACUGUCCGAAAGGACAGCUAAUACCGCAUAUUAUUCGAGCGGCCGAUGUCUGAUUAGCUGGUUGGCGGGGUAAAGGCCCACCAAGGCGACGAUCAGUAGCGGGUCUGAGAGGAUGAUCCGCCACACUGGGACUGAGACACGGCCCAGACUCCUACGUGAGGCAGCAGUGGGGAAUUUUGGACAAUGGGCGCAAGCCUGAUCCAGCCAUUCCGCGUGACUGAAGAAGGCCUUCAGGUUGUAAAGGGCUUUAGUCAGGGAAGCGGGACCUGCAGAAUAAGGACCGGCUAACUACGUGCCAGCAGCCGCGGUAAUUC
rnacentral:rRNA from 1 species